rnacentral:rRNA from 1 species
UACGAGGGGGGCAAGCGUUGUUCGGAUUUAUUGGGCGUAAAGGGUGCGUAGGCGGCGGGACAAGUCUGAUGUGAAAUCCUGGGGCUCAACCCUGGAACUGCAUUGGAUACUGCCUUGCUAGAGUACUGGAGAGGAAACUGGAAUUUACGGUGUAGCAGUGAAAUGCGUAGAGAUCGGAAGGAACACCAGUGGCGAAGGCGGCCGCCUGGAUAGAUACUGACGCUGAGGCGCGAGAGCGUGGGGAGCAAACAGG